GCCCGCGUGCAGCAACGAAGACCCAACACAGCCAUAAAUAAAUAAAUAAAUAAAUAAAUAAAUAAAUAAAUAAAUACAAGUGGAAGGAUCCCAUUGGUUAUCAAGGAAAGGCAAUUGGUCAAAGGUUUAAAUGUUACCUAAUCAUGAAUCUCUGGUUUUUAGGUAAGAUAAGGUUUGCUUCAUGGCUUCCCUAAUUAUGUAACUUGGGAAGAAAGAAAUACUUCUAUUUGAAUUACGCAGCUAAACGUGGUUUUCCCCCUUUUCUCCACCUUGUUUAGAGACGUAUAAAAUUUGGGGAUGCUUAAAGUUUACAGAAGGAAUGAAUAGAUUUGAUUAGGUAUAAGUUCCUAAAAGGCAUCUGUAAGCCCAUUACUAUUUUGAGGAAACAGUUCUCUCUAUGUUGUUCUGUUUCAUUUUCAAAUUAGGAUCCCAAGUCCUUGAUUUAGAUUCCCAAGGAGGGUGAUACGUUUAAAUAAAAUUCAGUGGGUCCCAAGAUUGUAUUACGUGGCACCAUGUUAUUUUGGUUGUCUUGCCUGAAAGGUUUAUGUUUUUCUCAUCCUCUUUCUAUAGUUUUUCGUUGUCGUCGUUGUUCGGAAGAAAUGUAAUAUUCAUCACUCCCUAUGCUCCAUGUUUAUUUUCUACUGCCGUACCAGUUUUGUUUGUAGUAGCAAUUCUGGAUCACCGAGGACUUGAACAGUGGAAGGAAUGUAGUGUCACAAGAGAAGAGUGGUGGUCUGUAUGAUGUCUAGAGAAAAGACAGCCAAGGAACACAGAUGGCAAUACAUGGGUCAGUGUAUCUCUACUUUUAUUGAGAAAUCUGCUGAAAGAAGUUCUACCUACACGAGGCUGUAAACCAAGGAAAAUUAAGACACAGGAUCCGGGAAACAGGCAUCCAUCUCAGAUGAGACAAAGGGAAUCCCCAUCAUGGUGGUGGCAAGAACCUUCAAGUUAAAGACUGGGCAGCGGGUCAGCCUGGAGCAGGAGGACUCUGGGCUUCAGGAGGCCUGGCUGUACGAAGACAGUUUACCUAACGAGUGUGAGUGUUGUUGGUGGGGAUUGACACUGUGUCGAAUAAUUUUGGGAUAGGCCAGUGAGAGGAAGAGAAAACUAAGCAAA